rnacentral:misc_RNA from 1 species
GAUGAAGAACGUAGCGAAAUGCGAUAAGUAGUGUGAAUUGCAGAAUUCAGUGAAUCAUCGAAUCUUUGAACGCACAUUGCGCCCCUUGGUAUUCCAUGGGGCAUGCCUGUUCGAGCGUCAUUUGUACCUUCAAGCUUUGCUUGGUGUUGGGUGUUUGUCUCGCCUUUGCGUGUAGACUCGCCUUAAAAUAAUUGGCAGCCGGCGUAUUGAUUUCGGAGCGCAGUACAUCUCGCGCUUUGCACUCAUAACGACAGCGUCCAAAAGUACAUUUUACACUCUUGACCUCGGAUCAGGUAGGGAUACCCGCUGAACUUAAGCAUAUCAUUAAGCGGAGGA